UACGAACCGUGCGAGCGUUAUUCGGAAUCACUGGGCUUAAAGCGCGUGUAGGCGGGCGGGCACGUCCGGCGCUGAAAUCCCCCGGCUCAACCGGGGAACGGGCGCGGAUACGACCUUCCUCGAGGGACGUAGGGGGACCUGGAACUUCCGGUGGAGCGGUGAAAUGCGUUGAGAUCGGAAGGAACGCCCGUGGCGAAAGCGAGGUCCUGGACGUCUGCUGACGCUGAGACGCGAAAGCCAGGGGAGCGAACGGG
rnacentral:rRNA from 1 species